AUUCUGCCCAUGCGGGGAAGGAUGAGAAGCUUCGACCAAGGUUCGACUCGAGUGCCAGCGAGAGAGCGUUGCCGCAGGCAACGACCCGUAGGGCGAAGCGCGCAGC
rnacentral:sRNA from 1 species